UGACGCUGGAACACAGGCCCUUUGUCCCAUGUGAGCAGGGAUGGUUGGUUGCUGGGGGGAUUUGACUUCUCAUCCUCCCAGUCUUCCUGGGAGGUGGGUGGAGGUGCCUAUUUUGCAAAUAAGGAAACUGAGGCCCAGAAGAGGGCCCCUGUCCUGCUGAGGUCUCCUGUCCUGCUGAGGUCUCCUGUCUUGCUGAGGUCUCCUGUCUUGCUGAGGUCUCCUGUCUUGCUGAGGUCUCACUAGCCUAGUGCUCUACCACCUGCGGCCUGGGUGUGGUCUGGAGGCCAGUGCGCUGUAGCUCCGGCCGGGAUGAGGAC
rnacentral:lncRNA from 1 species